rnacentral:lncRNA from 1 species
UGGUGCUUCUACUGAGACAAAUAAUGAUGUUGCUGAUGAGUCCAUUAAGAAAACUGCUCCUGAGACUCAUGUUGCGCCAAGUGUUGCAACACAUGGCGCUACGCCAAAUGUGGUGCCAGAUGUUACCACAUCUUUGGCACAAGAAAACCUUGUGGACUAUUCUGAGUCUGAUGAGAGUCCCCCACCUAAGGCUACUGAUAAA